AUUGAACGCUGGCGGCAGGCCUAACACAUGCAAGUCGAACGGCAGCACAGAAGAGCUUGCUCUUUGGGUGGCGAGUGGCGGACGGGUGAGUAAUGUCUGGGAAACUGCCCGAUGGAGGGGGAUAACUACUGGAAACGGUAGCUAAUACCGCAUAACGUCGCAAGACCAAAGUGGGGGACCUUCGGGCCUCACACCAUCGGAUGUGCCCAGAUGGGAUUAGCUAGUAGGUGGGGUAAUGGCUCACCUAGGCGACGAUCCCUAGCUGGUCUGAGAUGAUGACCAGACUCACUGGAACUGAGACACGGUCCAGACUCCUACGGGAGGCAGCAGUGGGGAAUAUUGCACAAUGGGCGCAAGCCUGAUGCAGCCAUGCCGAGUGUAUGAAGAAGGCCUUCGGGUUGUAAAGUACUUUCAGCGGGGAGGAAGGCGGUGAGGUUAAUAACCUUGCCGAUUGACGUUACCCGCAGAAGAAGCACCGGCUAACUCCGUGCCAGCCGCCGCCGUAA
rnacentral:rRNA from 1 species